UGUAUCCUUGCCACCAUGGAUUUCAGGUUUCUCUGCUAUUUAGUCCUUUUGCUCCUGGAAACUGACCUCAAGGAUGCUGCAGUUACACAGUCUCCAAGACACAGGGUCAUAGAUACAGAAAAGAAGUUAACUCUACAGUGUUCUCAGGAUACGGAUCACAUUUCAAUGUACUGGUAUCGCCAAGACCCAGGAGGUGAACUGCAGUUGAUCUAUUACUCAGCUGGUCCCCAAAGCACUGACAAAGGAGAUGCCUCUGAGGGGUACAGUGUCUCUAGACAGGACUUGAAGAAUUUUUCCUUGACAGUGGAGUCUUCCAGCCCCAGACAGACAUCUGUGUAUUUCUGUGCUAGCAGUUUAUCCACAGGUGCCAACUAUGACUACACCUUCAGUGCAGGAACCAAGCUGACGGUCAUAGAGGACCUGAAGAAGGUGAGACUCCCCAACGUGGCUAUAUUUGAACCCUCUGAAGCAGAGAUCAACCACACCCAGAAGGCCACCCUCGUCUGCCUGGCCAGGGACUUCUACCCUGACCAUGUAGAGCUGACCUGGUGGGUGAACGGCAAGGAGGUGCACAGUGGGGUCAUCACAGACCCCGAGCCCUACCAGAAGGAUCCCAGUCAGAAGGACUCCAGCUACUAUCUGAGCAGCAGGCUCCGGGUCUCUGCUGCCUUCUGGCACAAUGCCCGCAACCACUUCCGCUGCCAAGUCCAGUUCUAUGGGAUCAGUGAGGAUGAUACAUGGGAAGAUGCAAGGAGGCCCAAACCUGUCACCCAGAACAUCAGUGCUGGGCUCUGGGGCAGAGCAGACUGUGGCUUAACGUCAGAAUCCUAUCAUCAGGGAGUCAUGUCUGCCACCCUCCUCUAUGAGGUCCUGCUGGGCAAAGCUGCCCUGUAUGCUGUACUGGUCAGUGGUCUGGUGCUGAUGGCCAUGGUCAAGAGAAAGGACUGCUGAAGUCUGCUCAAAGAGUGACCUGGGUGCUUUCAGCCUGCUGCACUUCAACCUGGACUCUGCUUUUCCUGCUCGUACCCAGUGCUUCAGAACAACUGUUUAGGUGUCUCUUCAUCCCUGCAUAUGCCCCCUGUGUGUCAGCAUACACGAAUACUGUAGGUCAAAGUCCCCCUCAGCCAGUGGGGAUGCUGGAUUGUCUUAAUUCCCUGAACCAAUAAAAGUUGCUUCCUUUGGCUUAAGUCUA